AUUGAACGCUAGCGGGAUGCUUUACACAUGCAAGUCGAACGGCAGCGCGGACUUCGGUCUGGCGGCGAGUGGCGAACGGGUGAGUAAUGUAUCGGAACGUGCCCAGUAGCGGGGGAUAGCUACGCGAAAGCGUAGCUAAUACCGCAUACGCCCUACGGGGGAAAGCAGGGGAUCGUAAGACCUUGCACUAUUGGAGCGGCCGAUAUCGGAUUAGCUAGUUGGUGAGGUAACGGCUCACCAAGGCGACGAUCCGUAGCUGGUUUGAGAGGACGACCAGCCACACUGGGACUGAGACACGGCCCAGACUCCUACGGGAGGCAGCAGUGGGGAAUUUUGGACAAUGGGGGCAACCCUGAUCCAGCCAUCCCGCGUGUGCGAUGAAGGCCUUCGGGUUGUAAAGCACUUUUGGCAGGAAAGAAACGUCGCGGGCUAAUACCCCGUGGAACUGACGGUACCUGCAGAAUAAGCACCGGCUAACUACGUG
rnacentral:rRNA from 1 species